rnacentral:rRNA from 1 species
GCGUUGUCCGAAGUUACUGGGCGUAAAGCGCGCGUAGGCGGGUCCUUAAGUCUGCUGUGAAAGCCCGGGGCUUAACUCCGGAGGGUCGGUGGAUACUGGGGAUCUUGAAGUUGCUAGGGGGAGAUGGAAUUACCGGUGUAGCGGUGAAAUGCGUAGAUAUCGGUAGGAACACCAGUGGCGAAGGCGGUCUCCUGGGGCACACUUGACGCUGAGGCGCGAAAGCUGG